GGAGUUUAUCGCGGGGCCCUUUGUUUUUGGGGUUCCGAAUUUAGCCCUUGCUAGUUCCCCCGGGUUUUAGACCCCGUGGCAAGAUAGCUCCAGUAACCACGGUGGCCAAACUGCCCCUGUGGAUUGAAGAUAAUCUUCGGGAAAACUGAGGGCUAAUUCUCGAAUACGGCUCUUUCGCCUGGAAUGGCGUGAGCCCGAAACGUUUCGGCGUCACAGGAUGUGGCUGCGGCCGAUUAGGUAGACGGUGAGGUAACGGCCCACCGUGCCGAUAAUCGGUACGGGUUGUGAGAGCAAGAGCCCGGAGACGGAAUCUGAGACAAGAUUCCGGGCCCUACGGGGCGCAGCAGGCGCGAAACCUUUACACUGCACGGAAGUGCGAUAAGGGGACCCCAAGUGCGAGGGCAUACAGUCCUCGCUUUUCUGGACCGUAAGGAGGUCGAGGAACAAGAGCUGGGCAAGACCGGUGCCAGCCGCCGCGGUAAUACCGGCAGCUUGAGUGAUGGCCGAUGUUAUUGGGCCUAAAGCGUCCGUAGCCAGCUGGACAAGUCCGUCGGGAAAUCCACGUGCUCAACGCGUGGGCGUCCGGCGGAAACUGUUCGGCUUGGGGCCGGAAGACCCGAGGGGUACGUCUGGGGUAGGAGUGAAAUCCCGUAAUCUCGGACGGACCGCCUGUGGCGAAAGCGCCUCAGGAAGACGGACCCGACAGUGAGGGACGAAAGCCAGGGUCUCGAACCGGAUUAGAUACCCGGGUAGUCCUGGCUAUAAACGAUGUCCGCUAGGUGUGACGCAGGCUACGAGCCUGCGCUGUGCCGUAGGGAAGCCGUGAAGCGGACCGCCUGGGAAGUACGUCUGCAAGGAUGAAACUUAAAGGAAUUGGGGGGGGAGCACUUCAACCCGGAGGAACCUGCGGUUAAUAU
rnacentral:rRNA from 1 species